rnacentral:rRNA from 1 species
UACGAAGGGGGCUAGCGUUGCUCGGAAUUACUGGGCGUAAAGCGCACGUAGGCGGGUCGUUAAGUCGGGGGUGAAAUCCUGGAGCUCAACUCCAGAACUGCCUCCGAAACUGGCGAUCUUGAGUUCGGGAGAGGUGAGUGGAACUGCGAGUGUAGAGGUGAAAUGCGUAGAUAUUCGGAGGAACACCAGAAGCGAAGGCGGCCAACUGGCCCGAUACUGACGCUGAGGCGCGAAAGCGUGGGGAGCAAACAGG